rnacentral:rRNA from 1 species
CAGUAGCCGCGGUAAUACGAAGGGGGCUAGCGUUGCUCGGAAUGACUGGGCGUAAAGGGCGCGUAGGCGGCGGCCAAAGUCAGGCGUGAAAUUCCCGGGCUCAACCUGGGGGCUGCGUUUGAUACUUGGUUGCUUGAGUGGGGAAGAGGGUCGUGGAAUUCCCAGUGUAGAGGUGAGAUUCGUAGAUAUUGGGAAGAACACCGGUGGCGAAGGCGGCGACCUGGUCCUUUACUGACGCUGAGGCGCGAAAGCGUGGGGAGCAAACAGGAUUAGAUACCCCCGUAGUCCCUGUCUCUUAUAC